UGUAUUUAAGCUUGUGAUCACACAUUAGUGGGGCGUUUUAUUGAUGUUGCACAGGCUGGAGCAUCUGGAGGAGGACAUAAUUGUGUGUUGAGCGGGGCUCCUGAUUUUGUAUCCAGUUGCCUCUGUGGUGUUUGACUCGUCUAACGCUCAGGAGUAACUUACUGGCCAGGAAGCCUCUGUACUGAAGGACAUCUCGCUGGAGUUCUGCAUCACAGUAAGACUCUUUCCAGGAUUGUGUGCACUUGUACUUGUAGUACAUGUACUCAACCACAAAGUGUCACUACACAAUGUACGGUUAUGUCCGUCAGUGCUAUUUGAGGUCACCUCUGUGGGUAACACCAGAGGGCGUGCGAGAGCCCAGAAAGCCCGGAUGAAUUAGAAACACUCUAGGCCCAUUCACAUAAAGCCUUUUCCCUUUCCAUGUUAUCUGAUCUCGGGAAUUUCCGCACUCGUUUAAGAUCUUCAAAGAUGCAUACGUGACGUCUUUACUCACCUCCUGCAUCACCAGCACGUUUCUCUAACGUGAGGAAAGAUUGUCAUACCCAAUCACCCAUGGGCUGAGCUACACCCUUCAGAGGGAGGGCAUCCGUCUCAAGGUGCAAAAACACAUUCUGAUGGGGCUGACAGGUUCUCCGCAGCUCUGGUUUCUCAGUGCACAGACUGAUGUGUCCCCCUAAUGAGAAGUUUUCUGGACUGCGGUGCUCCAGCCCUCCAGACUCCACCUGAGCUCCAUAAAUCAAAGAGGCAGAGACGCUGGGGGUCAGUGCGAGAGCCCUCAAGAGGAGUCGUCUCUUCACUUCGUUCACUCAGUGCUUGUCCUGGUUCAGUGAGUUGGGCCUUGCGAACCGGAUCACACUUUUUUUUUAUAUCUGUGCUAUGUCAUGUCCACUUGUUCUACUACUAAGUUCUCAAAGCUCUUAAAUGCCAUUUCCAAAAGGGGCAGCAUUAAAAACAGUGAGCGUCAGGCCAUGUACACCCCUCCUGAGCUACAGGUUUCCUGUCUCGCUAGUCUUGCUAGGACUUGCCCCAUAUAUUCUGCUGUAUUGAGUAAUAAAAAAGCAUAAUAGCAUUCAUAUAUUCUGUUUAACCGCACAGUGUGCGUUUGUCUGAAUGUGACAAAGGGUGAGAGAAAGACUGGAUAUGAAGGGAAUUUGGAGCGGCCCCCUUGAAGGCAUAUGUAAACAUUUACGCUUUGUCUCAAGCCGCUGGUGUGAUUACAGAGGCUGUACUGUACAGAGGCAGUCAAAUGGAAAAUGCAGAGCACAUGAGUAUGAGUGGCCUUCUUGCUGGAGAGCAUUUCGUGACCACUCUGCUUCAUGGUAUUAGCUGGGCGCUGCCUCACGAAACUGAUGUGUUGCAUCUGAUAUAGAGGCUUGUUUGGAGAUCCAGUCAACAUCCGUCCACACUCUGUUCAAGUAUGUUUAUGGGUUUGCUUAUCUCCAGAUUGAAUAGAUGCCGUAGUACCGGGAGGGGAUCAACUUGGCGGCGUAGAAUGACGCAAUGGAAACGCAACCAGAAGAGGUAAAUAAUUAGGUUUGCAAGCAGCUUAGAAAUUUGGAACACCAGCCAUGUGAAAUCAAACCCUCUUGUUUUGACGCGUCAUGCGUUUUUACUGGUUGUGAUUGUUACGAGGAACUGGAGAAAUCAGUCGUGCCUGUUAUUACUCCAAACGUAGAACCUGCCAGUUUGUGGGAUGCUAAUAUCACUCAAAGGUUGUGCUAGCUUUAGCACAGUGCAGUGUACAUACAGUAGAUCUUAGGGGGGUGUUCAAAAUGCAAUGUGAAAGCAACGGACAGCAGUCAUUUUCAGUAAGAGCCGGCGGUUUCCAAGACACAAGUAACAGAGAUUGUUGCUGAUGUGACGGCUUUAUACAAAUAAGCAAUGCAGGGACUACCAAUGGGAAUGCCUACAGUGAUCUUCCACCCGAUACAGAUUUUUAUCGCUGCCUGUAGGAGUGGGGUUUUAUGCUCAUGUAUUUGCUUUCUAUUCUAGGGCCCCAUCACGAGGUUUGGACUGAAAAUGAAACAAGACUAGCACCCAGCCUCAUGGAAGACGAUUUUCUCAUGAAAAACCAAAGCUUGGGCAUCAAGAGGUUUCAUCACGGCCACAGGAAUGAUAGUAGCAAAACAUAGCUGGAUAUGCAGUUAGCCAUGUUCUACAUUGUCUUCCCCCACAAACCAGGCCACAUUAAAUUUGGCGCUCAUUUGCCUCAGCUGCUCACUAGGAGAUCACAGGGAAUGAAGACCCAGAAAGUGUUUUAAACCAAGGAACAGAUCCAGGACUUCAGCCAAUCAGAGUGGGGAUUGGGUUCCUCUACAACCUAUCCCAGGCCACACCUUCUACUUGUUAAAAACUUCCUUUGGCUGCAGAACAUAGUGGCUGAUAUUCUUCUGUUUUUAACAGCUGUGAAGUGGCUUAUGUUGAACUCUCAAUGCCGUGCAUUAUCUGAAGGUCACAGCAUUAUCUUCAUUUGAACAUCAAGGCUAUUUCGAUUGGUCAUUUUUGAUAACUUUUUUGAUAACUAAGAAUUUUAACUUUUUCAUCCAUUAUAGAUAUUCCUAAGAAUGAAAUACUGAUUGGUUAAACUUUGCAGGAACAUGUGGUGGAUCAGCAAAGAGCGCCAGACACAACGCAAACAAAUCGGACCCAGACUCCCCUUCCCAGAACAUGACCUCAGUUCUCAUCCAGUUAGAAAACUGCAGCAUCAGUCAGCCAUUGAUUGACAGACGUAAUAUCCCUGUCGCCGGUGGAGUGAUAAGACGGCAGUCUUGAACAAACGCUUCUUGACCCUGACCGGCCGUUGCCAUGGCUUCUAUUCCCAUGACUCCUGUUCCCAUGGUUCCUCAACCUUAAAGGGAAGUUUGUCUGAUUAGAUGAACAAUGGUGUUAUUUUGGGUGGUUCCUCCUUUUCCAUCUUGUUUUGCUUUUGGUUGUAAAUGUGCUCAUAUACACAAGGACAAAUUUCUUUGUAUUUAUAUUUAGGAUUUAUUCCUUCCUAAUAUGGCUUUUAUAGACUUCAAACACUUAUAAAUGAGACUGAUUUUCAAACUCAACGUCUUCCAAACUCGAUUUUAUUAUCAUCUCAUUAGCAGGUUCUGCUGACAGUGCAAAGCUCUCUCGGCCAUCAGAUAAAGUCAGUUGUGACAACCCAACAUGCAUUGCUAAGUAGGUGUGUAUCUCUGUCUUUCAUCCUGUCUUCAU